rnacentral:rRNA from 1 species
ACACAUGCAAGUCGAACGAUGAAGCCUUUCGGGGUGGAUUAGUGGCGAACGGGUGAGUAACACGUGGGCAAUCUGCCCUUCACUCUGGGACAAGCCCUGGAAACGGGGUCUAAUACCGGAUAACACUCUGUCCCGCAUGGGACGGGGUUAAAAGCUCCGGCGGUGAAGGAUGAGCCCGCGGCCUAUCAGCUUGUUGGUGGGGUAAUGGCCUACCAAGGCGACGACGGGUAGCCGGCCUGAGAGGGCGACCGGCCACACUGGGACUGAGACACGGCCCAGACUCCUACGGGAGGCAGCAGUGGGGAAUAUUGCACAAUGGGCGAAAGCCUGAUGCAGCGACGCCGCGUGAGGGAUGACGGCCUUCGGGUUGUAAACCUCUUUCAGCAGGGAAGAAGCGAAAGUGACGGUACCUGCAGAAGAAGCGCCGGCUAACUACGUGCCAGCAGCCGCGGUAAUACGUAGGGCGCAAGCGUUGUCCGGAAUUAUUGGGCGUAAAGAGCUCGUAGGCGGCUUGUCACGUCGGAUGUGAAAGCCCGGGGCUUAACCCCGGGUCUGCAUUCGAUACGGGCUAGCUAGAGUGUGGUAGGGGAGAUCGGAAUUCCUGGUGUAGCGGUGAAAUGCGCAGAUAUCAGGAGGAACACCGGUGGCGAAGGCGGAUCUCUGGGCCAUUACUGACGCUGAGGAGCGAAAGCGUGGGGAGCGAACAGGAUUAGAUACCCUGGUAGUCCACGCCGUAAACGUUGGGAACUAGGUGUU